UACGGAGGGUGCAAGCGUUAUCCGGAUUCACUGGGUUUAAAGGGUGCGUAGGCGGGCAGGUAAGUCCGUGGUGAAAUCUCUGAGCUUAACUCAGAAACUGCCAUGGAUACUAUUUGUCUUGAAUAUUGUGGAGGUAAGCGGAAUAUGUCAUGUAGCGGUGAAAUGCUUAGAUAUGACAUAGAACACCAAUUGCGAAGGCAGCUUACUACACGGUAAUUGACGCUGAGGCACGAAAGCGUGGGGAUCAAACAGG
rnacentral:rRNA from 1 species